AAGUCGUAACAAGGUUUCCGUAGGUGAACCUGCGGAAGGAUCAUUAAUGACACUUGUUAUACCAAUAUCAAACCAAAUGUGAACCGUAACGCUCCUAUUGUGAUGUAUUUCAGUCUGCUUCACGGCAGACGGAAGUGCUUCACAGUAGGGAAUACCCUUCCAGUAGUCAUCCCAAGCUUCGGUUUGGCUGAUGAUGAAGUAUUAACCAACCUUUACUCUAUAACUUUUACCUGUCUGAUCUUCAUAAACUUGUGAAUGGCACCCGCUGUUUAUAAGCUUUACGAAAUUUAACGAACAACUCCUAGCAAUGGAUAUCUCGGGUCAU
rnacentral:misc_RNA from 1 species